rnacentral:tRNA from 1 species
ACGAGACAUAGCAUAAAAUAAUGUCCUUCACUUACACUGGAGUUAUAGCCUACUAGCAGGCUUGUCUUU